GAUGCAGGCUACCUUAUCGCUGUUCCUUUUAGGAAAAGAGGAAAGUCCGGACACCAUAGUGCAGUAUAGCGGGUAACGCCCGUCCGUCGAAAGGCGAGGACAAGUGCAACAGAAAGAAUGUACAGGUAAUGCUGUAGUGAAAUCAGGUAAACUCUAUACGGUGCAACGCCAUGUAAACCGACUUUUGAGAGUUGCACGCUCGAUGUCGGAGGGUAGGCGGUUUGAUCUUGUUAGUAAUAACAAGGCUAGAUAAAUGAUAAGGAUCCCGAUACAGUUAUCGGGAAACAGAAUCCGGCUUAUAGCCUGCUUCUUUU
rnacentral:RNase_P_RNA from 1 species